CUUAAGCAUAUUAAUAAGCGGUGGAAAAGAAACCAACAGGGAUUCCCUUAGUAACGGCGAGUGAAGAGGGAGGUAGCCCAGCGCUGAAUCGUAUUGCUUGAAAGAGUGAAACGACAUGUAGCGUGAAGCCGGCAAUUUGUAGCUGUUAUCAAUGCGUGUAAGUCUCCCUGAGCGGGGCUCAGUCCCAGAGAUGGUGCAAGGCCCGUAUCGCGCGUGAUAAGUACAGCUACAUCUGCUUGCGGAGAGUCAGGUUGCUUGGGAACGCAAUCUAAAGCCGGUGGUACACUCCAUCGAAGGCUAAAUAUUACCACGAGUCCGAUAGCGAACAAGUACCGUGAGGGAAAAUUGAAAAGCACUUUGAAGAGAGAGCGAAACAGUGCGUGAAACCGCUCAGAGGCAAGCAGAUGGGACCUCGAAGGUGUAUAUAGGAUUACAUUCUUUAUCGCACGCCACCACUGUUGUUGACGUGCGCCAUGCGCUAACAUUUGGACGCCUGAGAUUGGGACUCGUGCCUGCUUGGGACGCUCGGUGUUGGAUGCUAUGAGUGUUUGCGGCAUGCAAUAACAGAGCAGGGCUCUGUCGUCGCUGUAAAGCGCCGGCUGUGGCUGCUUGCUGACGUACCUCGUGUAGGCGAGGCGCAAGCUUCGACAUACGUUGUAUGUUGCAACUCGGCCAUUAGCACCGGCAAGACGACAUUAAGACCCGGUGGCGAGUAGACGGUCUCCCAUUUAACCCGUCUUGAAACACGGGACCAAAGGGA
rnacentral:rRNA from 1 species